UUGAAGAGUUUGAUCAUGGCUCAGAUUGAACGCUGGCGGCAGGCCUAACACAUGCAAGUCGAACGGUAACAGGAAGCAGCUUGCUGCUUUGCUGACGAGUGGCGGACGGGUGAGUAAUGUCUGGGAAACUGCCUGAUGGAGGGGGAUAACUACUGGAAACGGUGGCUAAUACCGCAUAACGUCGCAAGACCAAAGAGGGGGACCUUCGGGCCUCUUGCCAUCAGAUGUGCCCAGAUGGGAUUAGCUUGUUGGUGAGGUAACGGCUCACCAAGGCGACGAUCCCUAGCUGGUCUGAGAGGAUGACCAGCCACACUGGAACUGAGACACGGUCCAGACUCCUACGGGAGGCAGCAGUGGGGAAUAUUGCACAAUGGGCGCAAGCCUGAUGCAGCCAUGCCGCGUGUAUGAAGAAGGCCUUCGGGUUGUAAAGUACUUUCAGCGGGGAGGAAGGUGUUGCGGUUAAUAACCGCAGCAAUUGACGUUACCCGCAGAAGAAGCACCGGCUAACUCCGUGCCAGCAGCCGCGGUAAUACGGAGGGUGCAAGCGUUAAUCGGAAUUACUGGGCGUAAAGCGCACGCAGGCGGUCUGUCAAGUCGGAUGUGAAAUCCCCGGGCUCAACCUGGGAACUGCAUUCGAAACUGGCAGGCUUGAGUCUUGUAGAGGGGGGUAGAAUUCCAGGUGUAGCGGUGAAAUGCGUAGAGAUCUGGAGGAAUACCGGUGGCGAAGGCGGCCCCCUGGACAAAGACUGACGCUCAGGUGCGAAAGCGUGGGGAGCAAACAGGAUUAGAUACCCUGGUAGUCCACGCCGUAAACGAUGUCUACUUGGAGGUUGUGCCCUUGAGGCGUGGCUUCCGGAGCUAACGCGUUAAGUAGACCGCCUGGGGAGUACGGCCGCAAGGUUAAAACUCAAAUGAAUUGACGGGGGCCCGCACAAGCGGUGGAGCAUGUGGUUUAAUUCGAUGCAACGCGAAGAACCUUACCUGGUCUUGACAUCCACAGAAGAAUCCAGAGAUGGAUUUGUGCCUUCGGGAACUGUGAGACAGGUGCUGCAUGGCUGUCGUCAGCUCGUGUUGUGAAAUGUUGGGUUAAGUCCCGCGACGAGCGCAACCCUUAUCCUUUGUUGCCAGCGAUUAGGUCGGGAACUCAAAGGAGACUGCCAGUGAUAAACUGGAGGAAGGUGGGGAUGACGUCAAGUCAUCAUGGCCCUUACGACCAGGGCUACACACGUGCUACAAUGGCGCAUACAAAGAGAAGCGACCUCGCGAGAGCAAGCGGACCUCAUAAAGUGCGUCGUAGUCCGGAUUGGAGUCUGCAACUCGACUCCAUGAAGUCGGAAUCGCUAGUAAUCGUGGAUCAGAAUGCCACGGUGAAUACGUUCCCGGGCCUUGUACACACCGCCCGUCACACCAUGGGAGUGGGUUGCAAAAGAAGUAGGUAGCUUAACCUUCGGGAGGGCGCUUACCACUUUGUGAUUCAUGACUGGGGUGAAGUCGUAACAAGGUAACCGUAGGGGAACCUGCGGUUGGAUCACCUCCUU
rnacentral:rRNA from 1 species